rnacentral:tmRNA from 1 species
GGGGACGCGUGGUUUCGACAGGGGAUGUAGGCUACAGAGUUGCAGGCUGAGGUGUCACUACCCUCAUAAAACAAGUGGCAAAAAUUUAAACGGCGAACCUGAAGUCGUUUACGCUGCUUAAUUAAGUGGCACAUCCAACCUGACCUCUCCUCAACGGGUUGGGAUUGGGUGACGAAAAGUUGAGGUGCCGCUGCCGGACGUCGAUAAAGGCGGCGUAAGAAAAAUCGACUGGUCUGGCCGACCUCGGUCAGCAGAGGUCAGCCGGAUGAGAUUAAAGAGCCGACUAAGCCUGUAGCAUACUCUGGGUCGCUUCUUCUGGACGGGGAGUUCGACUCUCCCCCGUCUCCACCA